rnacentral:lncRNA from 1 species
AGGCCCGGCCGCCCGCGCCCACCCGCCGCGCCAGCGCACCCGUGCCAGGUGUCCUGCACUGCCUGCACCUGGAUAUAGAGAUAGGAAAAGAGAUAAGAUCAGAAUGGAGAGGAGGAGAGAAGAAGAUAAAGGCGUGGAGAGAGAGGGGAGGCCGCGUGAAAGGGUUUUGUCCCCGUUGGAAAUUCCAACUAGAACUAAACCUUUUGUCCUAGUUGGAUUUACCAACCGGGACAAAGGGGGAGGGUCUUUUGUCCCAGUUGGAAUUUUCUACCGGGACAAAAGGGUGGAGUGUUGGUGGGAUUUUUUGUAACCGUUACAACCGGAACUAGGGGGGCUUUAGUCCCG